CCAGGCCUGCCUUGCCCUGGGCCAGGUGAGAAGCCAGUGGUGAUGCAUGAGUGCCCCCUGCUGGUGAUGUUCUGCACUGUCCACUGGGACUCCUACCCCGGAUCCAGCCAGGGGGCUGGGGAGGAAGAUGGUGCACCCUGGACAACCCUCAGAGGAGGAGAAAAUCACCGGCUCCCAAUUUGGGCAGCGAAUCAGAAGCAGCAUGGAUUCACUGCCUUUUGAAAUAGUGAAACUACCGUCAUUGGAGAAAGGCGAACUGUGGUUAGGCGACCUGGGAUUCCUCCGCUGGGAGAGAGGUUGAACUAGGUGAACUUGAAGGUUUCAUGCAAGGAAAGAGAAGUUAGCUGAUAUUUAUGUAGACCAGCUUCUAGAUUGACACUAAGUACAAAGCUAAUGUGUAUUUACUAUGGCUUUAAUCUAUACUGAUUAAGAAUGUCUCAUUUAUUCACCUGCACCUCAUGUUUUACUUGGCAUGUAUCUUUAUUAUAGUUAAUAUAAAUAUCACAUUAGCUGCUUACAGAACAUAUAGAAUUUGCUGUCCUGAGUUUAUUUACAAGUUAGUACCUCAUUUAUGAGACUUUUUACCCCUUGAGAACAUCCGCCUUCUUCUUGAAAACUGUGACUGGUUCAUUAUAAACAUAUAUUCGUAUAAUGGAGUUAAUGGGGUUAUCAUCUGUUUAUCUCUUUUAAUUAGGCCCUGAUUUGCCCAAACAAUUUCAGUUACUUUCUUGAUUACAGUUGGAGGAGCAUGUGGUUUGGUGUGGGCUUGGUAAAGAGCUGCUGUCUGCUUCUCUAAAUCCACGUAUAGUAUCAUAUGUUCAGGCUGAGUUAAUAUUUGAUAUGUGAGUUGUUCCCUUAUCUUGUUAGAUACUCUUGAUAAAAGAAUUCCCACUCAUGAAUUUUCAUGGAUAUACCUCUG
rnacentral:lncRNA from 1 species